GAUGAACGCUGGCGGCGUGCUUAACACAUGCAAGUCGAACGGAAAGGCUCCUGCUUGCCGGGGUACUCGAGUGGCGAACGGGUGAGUAACACGUGGGUGAUCUGCCCUGCACUUCGGGAUAAGCCUGGGAAACUGGGUCUAAUACCGGAUAGGACAACAUUUUGGAUGGGGUGGUGGAAAGUUUUUCGGUGUGGGAUGAGCUCGCGGCCUAUCAGCUUGUUGGUGGGGUAAUGGCCUACCAAGGCGUCGACGGGUAGCCGGCCUGAGAGGGUGUACGGGCACAUUGGGACUGAGAUACGGCCCAGACUCCUACGGGAGGCAGCAGUGGGGAAUAUUGCACAAUGGGCGCAAGCCUGAUGCAGCGACGCCGCGUGGGGGAUGACGGCCUUCGGGUUGUAAACUCCUUUCGCUAGGGACGAAGCGCAAGUGACGGUACCUGGAGAAGAAGCACCGGCUAACUACGUG
rnacentral:rRNA from 1 species